UUGCAACGGAUGAGAUUGGUCUCAGUCACUGACACCAGGUGUUUGUGGUGCCCUUGUCCUUAGUCCCUGCUUUCCGAUUCAUUGCUCGUGUCGGCACCGCAGACGAGGAGAAGCUACGGGGAGGUUGUAUUCACUGGUGACCUGGGUUUGGCGAUUUAUGUUUGCUGGGUUGGAGAGAGUGAUGCUGAAGCAACAAGUGAGGGAAAGAGGGAAGAAGAGGAGUAGGAAGCAAUUGGAAGUGCGGUGUCUCGAAAGGAGAUGAGGUUGGAUCGGUGUAGUUGGUGCGUUUGGAACGUUGAGUUGGGAGAAGGCGAUACAGUGACCUGUAAAUUAAAAUGAAGCAACGAUUUGCGUCCAGGGACAGGUUAGGUAGCACUCUGAGCUAAUGCAUUCAGAGUCAUGAAGAAAAGACCGUAUGGAUACUCUCGUCGGAGAUGGAGAUCUGGAGUGUGCAUGUUAUUAGGUCUACCUCUCAUUAUCGUAGCGUUGGUGAAGCUUCAAGGCUUGGUGCAGCGCGAUGUAAUGGAAUCCCCUCCAAUUAGGGACCCUUUGAAACCAAAGCUAGCAUUCCUUUUUUUGGCUCGGCAUGUCAUGCCUUUGGAUAUUCUAUGGGAGCAUUUCUUUGAGAGAUCUCGAGAUCACGAAUUCAAUAUAUACAUUCAUGCAAGACCUGGAUUUUCUUACACCGAAGAAAAUACUCAGUGCAGCUCGUUUAUCAAUCGUCAGCUGAAUAACUCUAUCCAGGUAGUAUGGGGAGAGGCGACCAUGAUACAGGCAGAGCGACUGUUGAUAGCAGAAGCUUUAAAGAACCCCUUGAACGAGCGCUUCUUCCUUCUCUCUGACAGCUGCAUACCACUUUACAAUUUUGACUACGUCUACAAUUAUGUGAUGGCGUCUCAAAAAAGCUUUGUGGACAGUUUUGUUGAUUACUCCGACGAGCAGUACAACAUCAACAUGGAGUCGGUUAUCCCACAUGAGAAUUGGCGUAAAGGAUCUCAGUGGUUUGUUUUGACUCGAAAGCAUGCUGAAGCUGUAGUAGCAGAUUCCACGGUGUUUCAAAUGUUUAACCAGCAUUGCAAGAAAGUGGUUCUACCAGACAAUUGGGUGGAUGAUCCUUCGCUAAACGCGACAAAGAAGCCUCACAACUGUAUACCCGACGAGCAUUAUAUUCAGACUCUUUUUGCGCACAACGAUUUUCUUGCCAAGUACGUACGUGAAGUAUGAUUGUUGGAGGAAAAAUUUCUGGGUUUAGAUGGAAGGUUUGGAAGCGGAAACAGAACGGCGUACGUUAACUUUCAGCAAAUGGGAGAAUCAUGUGAAAGACGUGGGCCGAGAAGGAUGGCAUCCUGUUACUUACAAUUUUCAAGAUUCUACCCUUGAGGCCAUUAGAAGUAUUCAGGCUUUACGUAGCAUCCGGUACGAAACCGAGUCACGAACAGAGUGGUGCAAAGCAGGAGGCGAAGACAAGCCUUGCUUUCUGUUUGCUAGAAAGUUUACACGGGCUGCUGGAUUUCGCCUUCUGGACCUAGUUUCUAGCUAUGAAAAAGGACUAGCAUCCUGAGCGCUUCAGGCUGCACACAAGUGCGUCCAAACUUGUGUCGUAGCUUCCUAAUUCAAACGCUAUUUAGGAUGGGGCCCAGUUGGAAGAUGUGCAACCUUGGGACAGUGAACUCUUCUUUUCCACUCAAUACCUUCACAGGAACAAGGUGCUUCAUUCCCUGAUGUUGGUUGCCUAUCUUAUAGACAGAACCUUGUGGCUUUGAACAUCCUGCACAGCUUCAGGAUCUGUAGCUGCUUGGACUUGACAAUUUUGUGCAGGAAUGGUUCAUUCAUGUCUGAUACAGCGUACACCUUUUUGGGUAUCUGAUCAACUUUGGGUGCACUGCAGCCAUUCAUGUAUCUGCUUUGGCAAGGAAAAUGAAAUGCAUACAAGAUUUUCAUCUUCUAUUGUAA